rnacentral:antisense_RNA from 1 species
UGUAGGAGUGAGCCUGCUCGCGAUAUCGGUCUGACAUUCAACCUCCAUGUUGAUUGAACUACUGCGAUCGCGAGCAGGCUCACUCCUACA